CACGUAGGAGGCGAGCGUUGUCCGGAAUCAUUGGGCGUAAAGAGCGCGCAGGCGGCUUGGCAAGUCGGGUGUGAAAUCCCGGGGCUCAACCCCGUGACUGCAUCCGAUACUGUCAGGCUAGAGGUAGGUAGGGGAGAUCGGAAUUCCUGGUGUAGCGGUGAAAUGCGCAGAUAUCAGGAGGAACACCGGUGGCGAAGGCGGAUCUCUGGGCCUUACCUGACGCUCAGGCGCGAAAGCUAGGGGGAGCGAACAGG
rnacentral:rRNA from 1 species